rnacentral:rRNA from 1 species
UGGCGGACGGGUGAGUAACGCGUGGGUAACCUGCCUUACACAGGGGGAUAACACUUAGAAAUAGGUGCUAAAACCGCAUAAGCGCACAGCUUCGCAUGAAGCGGUGUGAAAAACUCCGGUGGUGUAAGAUGGACCCGCGUCUGAUUAGCUUGUUGGCGGGGUAACGGCCCNCCAAGGCGACGAUCAGUAGCCGGCCUGAGAGGGCGGACGGCCACAUUGGGACUGAGACACGGCCCAGACUCCUACGGAAGGCAGCAG